UAUAGCAUUCUUAUUAAUUCUAUAAUUUAUAAUACCUUUUUUCCUUCAGAUACAUUUCCAUUGGCUAAUGCUAAAAGAAUAAUAGUCUAAAAACAGUCUUAAAUUAAACCAACCUGGAAAUUUAAUAGGAUAUGUACAUUUCUUAUCUUUUUCAUUUAUUCAAAGAUUAUGGUAAGUCGGAUGCUGCCCUUCCCCCUUACUUUUCCAAACAGAAAUGCUAAUCAAGGUAAAAGGAAUGUAAGUGAAAUGGCUCAGAUUCUAUCUUGAUGGCCUUAUCUCCAGGUCUCUUCUAUUCUACACAUCAUCCUCCAGCCAGCAGAGAACCUUAGAUUCCUCUCUUUAAUGAUAGCUUGGUGCUUAAUCUCCGUAACAAUGCCCCGUUUAAGUAUCAUGGAGAAUGAAUGGGUUUGUUUAAGCAGCCAGGGGGUGGAUCACUUCUCCACCUUUCCUGUAAAAGCGGGUGGGAGUCCUGGGUGUGGUGGAGAGUGACCAUUGUGAUGUCUGCUGAUGGAGAUGCUGCGGCUUCCAGAUUCUUCCUUUGACUACACAAGCAACAGCUGUCUAGCUUCCUGCGCAGUACUGGAUCUAAUGCCUCUACAGAAAUCUAGGUCAAAACACUUGGAAUGCAUGAAUAUCAAACAGAGUUUUCAAAACAGCAAAUGAAUACAUCUUUAACUGGUGACAUUUUCCCGUAGCAUAUGGCUGCAAGCUCAGGGGACUGCAUGCUUUUUUGAUGAAUAUGUUCCGUCAAAAACUAAGGGAUGGCAGUGGGCUUAUGUCACCUUCUGUUUUGCCUUAUGAAAUGAUAAUGCAAACGCAUAGCUAGAUAUCAUGAUCACAAGAAUUUUACCUUCAGUCUUAUUCUAAAGUUACAUUGCACCUCCUGGUUGAAUUGCUAAGGCUUUGGUCAUGUUCUGGUAUACAGGAUGCCUGUCAACGAUGCAGUUGGAGAAAAAAAAAAGUUGCCUUUGUAUGACUAGUGGCAAGUAAAAUAACUGACCUAGAAAACAGAAGACAGAAAUUUUGGGAGAGAUUCUUCCACAUCAGACAUAUGCAGUUAAAAAGACUUGAUGUGAUGCCACUUGGGAAAUUCAUUCUUAAUUCAUUGAUUCAUAUGAGUGAGGGAAACAAAGUAAAAGAGAACAAAUCAAUAGAACUGUGCUAUGGUACCAACUGUGCCACUAACUAACUAGCACUAUAACGUUGGGCAAGUCCCCUGAGCAUGUUUUCUAAUCUGGAAAAUGAAGGGGACAAGAUCUAGAUCUUGAAGACCAAACUUUAGAGCGAAAUUGGGUAGAACUUGCUCAUUUUAAUAGGAAAAAAGAAACAAAACCCUGGCAUCCAGAAUGGAUGAAUUUUCUGCUCAAGGUUAUACAGCUGGUUCAAUUAAAAAGAAAUAUAGCCAAGAUUAGAAGUGAUUAUUUAUGGUCUUGAUUUAUUUUGCAGUUUAAUAUUGUGGGAUGUGUGGUUGUAUGAAAUUUAUUUUAACUAGUUCACUGAAUUUCUUGGUCUAAAACAUGACUUUGGGGAAAUUGUAUUUUGUCUGUUUAUUGUCUGACUUGAUUCAACUAGACCUGACUAUUAUUAGUACAUUUUAACAGAAUGUUAAGCUUUAAUAUGAUUCAUUAGUAGAUACUUGGGAUUCACUUUGUUACUUUUAUAG
ensembl:lncRNA